rnacentral:rRNA from 1 species
AGAUUAAGUUAUUAAGGGCGCACGGUGGAUGCCUUGGCACUAGAAGCCGAUGAAGGACGUUACUAACGACGAUAUGCUUUGGGGAGCUGUAAGUAAGCUUUGAUCCAGAGAUUUCCGAAUGGGGAAACCCAGCAUGAGUUAUGUCAUGUUAUCGAUAUGUGAAUACAUAGCAUAUCAGAAGGCACACCCGGAGAACUGAAACAUCUUAGUACCCGGAGGAAGAGAAAGAAAAUUCGAUUCCCUUAGUAGCGGCGAGCGAAACGGGAAGAGCCCAAACCAACAAGCUUGCUUGUUGGGGUUGUAGGACACUCUAUACGGAGUUACAAAGGACGACAUUAGACGAAUCAUCUGGAAAGAUGAAUCAAAGAAGGUAAUAAUCCUGUAGUCGAAAAUGUUGUCUCUCUUGAGUGGAUCCUGAGUACGACGGAGCACGUGAAAUUCCGUUGGAAUCUGGGAGGACCAUCUCCUAAGGCUAAAUACUCUCUAGUGACCGAUAGUGAACCAGUACCGUGAGGGAAAGGUGAAAAGCACCCCGGAAGGGGAGUGAAAUAGAACCUGAAACCGUGUGCUUACAAGUAGUCAGAGCCCGUUAAUGGGUGAUGGCGUGCCUUUUGUAGAAUGAACCGGCGAGUUACGAUUUGAUGCAAGGUUAAGCAGUAAAUGUGGAGCCGUAGCGAAAGCGAGUCUGAAUAGGGCGUUUAGUAUUUGGUCGUAGACCCGAAACCAGGUGAUCUACCCUUGGUCAGGUUGAAGUUCAGGUAACACUGAAUGGAGGACCGAACCGACUUACGUUGAAAAGUGAGCGGAUGAACUGAGGGUAGCGGAGAAAUUCCAAUCGAACCUGGAGAUAGCUGGUUCUCUCCGAAAUAGCUUUAGGGCUAGCCUCAAGUGAUGAUUAUUGGAGGUAGAGCACUGUUUGGACGAGGGGCCCCUCUCGGGUUACCGAAUUCAGACAAACUCCGAAUGCCAAUUAAUUUAACUUGGGAGUCAGAACAUGGGUGAUAAGGUCCGUGUUCGAAAGGGAAACAGCCCAGACCACCAGCUAAGGUCCCAAAAUAUAUGUUAAGUGGAAAAGGAUGUGGCGUUGCCCAGACAACUAGGAUGUUGGCUUAGAAGCAGCCAUCAUUUAAAGAGUGCGUAAUAGCUCACUAGUCGAGUGACACUGCGCCGAAAAUGUACCGGGGCUAAACAUAUUACCGAAGCUGUGGAUUGUCCUUUGGACAAUGGUAGGAGAGCGUUCUAAGGGCGUUGAAGCAUGAUCGUAAGGACAUGUGGAGCGCUUAGAAGUGAGAAUGCCGGUGUGAGUAGCGAAAGACGGGUGAGAAUCCCGUCCACCGAUUGACUAAGGUUUCCAGAGGAAGGCUCGUCCGCUCUGGGUUAGUCGGGUCCUAAGCUGAGGCCGACAGGCGUAGGCGAUGGAUAACAGGUUGAUAUUCCUGUACCACCUAUAAUCGUUUUAAUCGAUGGGGGGACGCAGUAGGAUAGGCGAAGCGUGCGAUUGGAUUGCACGUCUAAGCAGUAAGGCUGAGUAUUAGGCAAAUCCGGUACUCGUUAAGGCUGAGCUGUGAUGGGGAGAAGACAUUGUGUCUUCGAGUCGUUGAUUUCACACUGCCGAGAAAAGCCUCUAGAUAGAAAAUAGGUGCCCGUACCGCAAACCGACACAGGUAGUCAAGAUGAGAAUUCUAAGGUGAGCGAGCGAACUCUCGUUAAGGAACUCGGCAAAAUGACCCCGUAACUUCGGGAGAAGGGGUGCUCUUUAGGGUUAACGCCCAGAAGAGCCGCAGUGAAUAGGCCCAAGCGACUGUUUAUCAAAAACACAGGUCUCUGCUAAACCGUAAGGUGAUGUAUAGGGGCUGACGCCUGCCCGGUGCUGGAAGGUUAAGAGGAGUGGUUAGCUUCUGCGAAGCUACGAAUCGAAGCCCCAGUAAACGGCGGCCGUAACUAUAACGGUCCUAAGGUAGCGAAAUUCCUUGUCGGGUAAGUUCCGACCCGCACGAAAGGCGUAACGAUUUGGGCACUGUCUCAACGAGAGACUCGGUGAAAUCAUAGUACCUGUGAAGAUGCAGGUUACCCGCGACAGGACGGAAAGACCCCGUGGAGCUUUACUGUAGCCUGAUAUUGAAAUUCGGCACAGCUUGUACAGGAUAGGUAGGAGCCUUUGAAACGUGAGCGCUAGCUUACGUGGAGGCGCUGGUGGGAUACUACCCUAGCUGUGUUGGCUUUCUAACCCGCACCACUUAUCGUGGUGGGAGACAGUGUCAGGCGGGCAGUUUGACUGGGGCGGUCGCCUCCUAAAAGGUAACGGAGGCGCUCAAAGGUUCCCUCAGAAUGGUUGGAAAUCAUUCAUAGAGUGUAAAGGCAUAAGGGAGCUUGACUGCGAGACCUACAAGUCGAGCAGGGUCGAAAGACGGACUUAGUGAUCCGGUGGUUCCGCAUGGAAGGGCCAUCGCUCAACGGAUAAAAGCUACCCCGGGGAUAACAGGCUUAUCUCCCCCAAGAGUUCACAUCGACGGGGAGGUUUGGCACCUCGAUGUCGGCUCAUCGCAUCCUGGGGCUGUAGUCGGUCCCAAGGGUUGGGCUGUUCGCCCAUUAAAGCGGUACGCGAGCUGGGUUCAGAACGUCGUGAGACAGUUCGGUCCCUAUCCGUCGUGGGCGUAGGAAAUUUGAGAGGAGCUGUCCUUAGUACGAGAGGACCGGGAUGGACAUACCUCUGGUGUACCAGUUGUCGUGCCAACGGCAUAGCUGGGUAGCUAUGUGUGGACGGGAUAAGUGCUGAAAGCAUCUAAGCAUGAAGCCCCCCUCAAGAUGAGAUUUCCCAACUUCGGUUAUAAGAUCCCUCAAAGAUGAUGAGGUUAAUAGGUUCGAGGUGGAAGCAUGGUGACAUGUGGAGCUGACGAAUACUAAUCGAUCGAAGACUUAAUCAAAUU